GCCGGUGGGUGGCUGCGUCAUGACUCCGCCAGCUGAUCCGAGACGGGAGCCGGCGCGCGAGGCGGCGGGGGGAGGCGGCGGCGGCACCAACACCAACCGGGCCGGGCUGGGUCGGACCGCACCGGACGCGUUUGGGCCGUGAAGAGCAGGCAGGCGGCUGGCACCCGGCCAGGUGGGACCCUGCCAGCUUGGAUGCCUGAGGUGCUGUCCCACUGCCCUGCUCCUGGCUAACCAGCACCAGUUCUUCAGUGGCAAGCUUUAUGUCCUUCUCUAAUAGCUAAAGCUGCCAGUUGAAGAACUGUUGAAUGUAGCCACUCUCUUCUCGUCACUGGGACCCUGGAUGUCAGUCACACCCGUGCCUGGAGCCACUGGGAUGAGUCAGCCUGCAGUGUCCCGUGGAUUUGAGGGCUGAAGAUGAGCCUGGUCAGGAGGACGAAGAAAUCUGGCAGCUUCCUGAUGGAGCCUUGGCUGCAGAGUCCACCUCACCAGUGGGGUGGCAUUGAGCUGGGAUGACUAGAGAAGGGUGAAAGAAGCAUUAAACUUUGUUUUGCUCAACA